AGCGCCCGUACGAACACCGAAGUUAAGCAAGGUUGAACCUGGACAGUACCUAGAUGCGUGACCACGUAGGAAUACCAGGU